rnacentral:rRNA from 1 species
UGCCAGACUCCUACGGGAGGCAGCAGUGGGGAAUAUUGGACAAUGGGGGGAACCCUGAUCCAGCGACGCCGCGUGAGUGAAGAAGUAUUUCGGUAUGUAAAGCUCUAUCAGCAGGGAAGAUAAUGGCGGUACCUGAGGAAGAAGCCCCGGCUAACUACGCGCCAGCAGCCGCGGGAAUAAGUAGGGGGCAAGCGUUAUCCGGAUUUACUGGGUGUAAAGGGAGCGUAGACGGCAUGGCAAGUCUGAAGUGAAAGCCCGGGGCUCAACCGCGGGACUGCUUUGGAAACUGUUAAGCUGGAGUGCAGGAGAGGUAAGUGGAAUUCCUAGUGUAGCGGUGAAAUGCGUAGAUAUUAGGAGGAACACCAGUGGCGAAGGCGGCUUACUGGACUGUAACUGACGUUGAGGCUCGAAAGCGUGGGGAGCAAACAGGAUUAGAUACCCGAGUG